rnacentral:rRNA from 1 species
UACGGAAGGCAGCAGUGGGGAAUAUUGCACAAUGGGUGAAAGCCUGAUGCAGCUAUGCCGCGUGUAUGAAGAAGGCCUUAGGGUUGUAAAGUACUUUCAUCGGGGAGGAAAAAACAAAACUAAUAAUUUUAUUUCUUGACGUUACCCGAAAAAGAAGCACCGGCUAACUCCGUGCCAGCAGCCGCGGUAAUACGGAGGGUGCUAGCGUUAAUCAGAAUUACUGGGCGUAAAGAGCACGUAGGUGGUUUUUUAAGUCAGAUGUGAAAUCCCUGGGCUUAACCUAGGAACUGCAUUUUGAAACUGAAAUACUAGAGUAUCGUAGAGGGAGGUAGAAUUCUAGGUGUAGCGGUGAAAUGCGUAGAUAUCUGGAGGAAUACCUGUGGCGAAAGCGGCCUCCUAAACGAAUACUGACACUGAGGUGCGAAAGCGUUGGGGAGCAAACAGGGAUUAGAUACC